CCCUAAACCUCAUCAUGGUUCAGCAGCAGGACAAGCUGGGGGCAAGGCUAUCACCUCACACAGAUUCAGAUCCCAGGUCAGAAGGAAGCACCCAGGACCAGAGGCCCCUCCAGCCCCACAGCUGCUCCUGCGCCCACAGAGGAUGUACAGCCCCACUCAUGUGGGUCCAUGCAAGAGCUCAGUGCGGAUCGCUGCAGGAAAACAUAUAAUGGAAAAACCAGCCAAGGUCAGGUUGCCGUGCCCCUGUGAUUUCUGUGUCCAUCCAAACUAAAAGAACUUGAUGGCUGAACAGCAGGCUUUGAACUCAUCUAACAGUCUGACCUUGGUGCUCUCUUAAACUGAGUGAACACUUCUGGACAACACGCUGAUGUGUAUGUUGGGCAUCUGUAUGUUUUCAUGCUCACUUGUGGUGUCUACAUAGGCCAUGAAACUAUGGGCCAGAGCUGCUCUGAGGAGCCAGAAGAAGAUUGCUCCCAGACACACUACAAAGCUUGAAGCUCACACUCAUCACAAUCUGAGCCUGGCUUUGUGGUUUAUUGGAGGAGAGGACCUGAAGAUAGCGAGGGUUUGCAUGGCUCUGGUGAGACUGAGAGCACAGCUGAGAUCCUUCCACAGGUAUCCUCAAUUUAGUUUCCCUCUGUCAGAGCAGGGUGAGUAUAAUUAAAGACAUGGGCUUCAGCUGUUGUGCUGAUAGCCUCACUCAGGGAGCAUAUCUAUCCUCCAUCCCAGUUGGCAAGCCUUUUGCUCAGCCUGGUGGGUGCUGGAAGGACCACUUUGUCUUCACCAAGGUUCUGCUGUCCCAGGAUGUGUGCAUGAGUCAUUGUCUGGAAAUCCAAGUGGCCAGAUGUCCGCCAGAUACCGCUGCACUCGAGUUGCUAACUCCCCCAAACAGGGGAAGGGGCCACUCCUCCCUGCAGAGCUGGCGGGCAGAAACGCUUUAG
rnacentral:lncRNA from 1 species